rnacentral:tRNA from 1 species
GGUUCCAUAGUGUAGCGGUUAGCACAUAUGCUUUACACACAGAGGUCCUGUGUUCGCACCCCAGUGGAGCCA